rnacentral:rRNA from 1 species
UACGAGGGGUGCAAGCGUUGCUCGGAAUUAUUGGGCGUAAAGGGUAGGUAGGUGGUCUUAUUUGUCAGGGGUGAAAGCCUUGGGCUUAACUCAAGAAGUGCCCCUGAAACGGUAAGACUAGAGUCUUGGAGAGGGUCGUGGAAUUCCCGGUGUAGCGGUGAAAUGCGUAGAGAUCGGGAGGAACACCAGAGGCGAAGGCGGCGACCUGGACAAGCACUGACACUCAACUACGAAAGCGUGGGGAGCAAACAGGG